AUUAUUUAUAUAGCACCAUCAGAUUCCAUGGCCCUGUACAAAGGGUGGACUAACAGACAUUUAAUUGUAACCAGACAACUUGACGUACAGGAACAGAGAGGUGGAGGGCCUUGCUCAAUGAGCUUACAUUCUAGAGGGAGUGGGGUAUAGUGACACAAAGGGUAAAAGUAGGGGUAUGAAGUAAGAUGUUAGAAAAGUAUUCGCUGAAAGCUUAAUAAGUAGCUUUUGACAGUUGCAGGAGAGGAGUCAUGGAGGGUGGGGGAUGAAAACCUGCUAACAGUUUAAUUGAUAUGCUUUCUUGAAGAAGUGAGUUUUCAAUGAUUUUUUUUUUUUAAAAUGAGUGGAGACAGGGUGAAAUGCUUAAGGAAAAGGGAAGGGAGUUCCACAGCAGAGGUGCAGCCCUGGACUGACACUUCCUCACCACAACUUCAAAUGCCAUAAGUAGAAUCAGAUUUAAAAAAAAAAAAAAAAACACACCAGAAUUAAAUAUGAUUCUGCACCUGAUAUUUUGAAACUUGUCAACAAGACAGAAUGCAAAAGUUUGUUUUAAAUCACAGAUCAGAAAGUGAAUCAGAUAUUGAUUGUUACCUUGUCAGAUCCAAGUUUGAGCCUGAUGUAGCUACAAGUGAUAGGUGGUAAGAUGAUCAGCUGGCAUGGCGGUGUGAUAAAACAGUAUAGCACAGUGAAAAAAUAAAACUGGUUGAGAACUUUCUCUUGAGAAACUAUCAAGGGGCAAAAUAAAUUCAUAUCUUAUCAGGUGUCUUGACACACUUGGAUGUUAAGUAGUCAGCUCUGUAAG